rnacentral:rRNA from 1 species
UACGAAGGGGGCUAGCGUUGUUCGGAAUUACUGGGCGUAAAGCGCACGUAGGCGGACUAUUAAGUCAGGGGUGAAAUCCCGGGGCUCAACCCCGGAACUGCCUUUGAUACUGGUAGUCUCGAGUCCGGAAGAGGUGAGUGGAAUUCCGAGUGUAGAGGUGAAAUUCGUAGAUAUUCGGAGGAACACCAGUGGCGAAGGCGGCUCACUGGUCCGGUACUGACGCUGAGGUACGAAAGCGUGGGGAGCAAACAGG